CCUUAAGGGGUUAAUCCAAAUGCAAGGUUAACGUGAGAAUUUGAGAGUGACCUGUAGGGGUCAGUGUGGUUUAUGUGAAACAUUGUUCGUGAGCUAUGCCCCAGCAUUAUAGUUGUAUGACAGGGAAACAAACAGUGCCCGUUUGACAAUAUACAAUAAGUGAACAUAUUAGCUUAAUAACAGUCAUUGUAACAAACCAAAGUUCUGUUCGUGGGUUGUAAAUGCAUGAAGCGUGUGUGUAGUACAAUAGUAAAUGCAUGAACUAGUUCCCGUUUGGUAGAAAAUUGCACGAACCGUGAGCCUGGUAUGUCAAGGAAACAAAACGAAACGAGCAGUGAGAUUCAAAAUGCACGCACAGAAUUGCCUAGUAUGUUUAGGCAAUUGAAACAGAAUGUGUUCCCGUUUGGGAGUAUGCUAAUGCUCAAAAUGAGCCAGUGACAGAUAUAAACAAGUGAGUUUAAACGAAUGAUAUGCAUGAACAUGCAAUGGUUUUAGGACAGAUUUAG